rnacentral:rRNA from 1 species
CACCAGACUCCUACGGGAGGCAGCAGUGGGGGAUAUUGCACAAUGGGGGAAACCCUGAUGCAGCGACGCCGCGUGUGGGAAGACGGUCUUCUGGAUUGUAAACCACUGUCCCCAGGGACGAAAAUGACGGUACCUGGGGAGGAAGCUCCGGCUAACUACGUGCCAGCAGCCGCGGUAAUACGUAGGGAGCAAGCGUUGUCCGGAAUUACUGGGUGUAAAGGGAGCGUAGACGGCAGGGCAAGUCUGGAGUGAAAGGCAGGGGCCCAACCCCUGGACUGCUCUGGAAACUGUCCGGCUGGAGUGCAGGAGAGGUAAGUGGAAUUCCUAGUGUAGCGGUGAAAUGCGUAGAUAUUAGGAGGAACACCAGUGGCGAAGGCGGCUUACUGGACUGUAACUGACGUUGAGGCUCGAAAGCGUGGGGAGCAAACAGGAUUAGAUACCCUAGUAU